ACAAAAUGGCGACACGUGGUUAGCAUUCGUCGCCAACGAGAAAUUGGGGUCGGCCCGAAAGCUCUAGAAUGCACCCCUAUUCCUCCCCGGGGCCAUUCCCGCUCAACGAGUUUUAUGACCUAAAAAACCCCACAGGCUGGUCUGAAGAGGAAGACACUUAAAGAUGAAGUGCUUAAUUCAAGGUCACAGAAUGUCGGGGAUGGACCUCCAGAUUUCCUUACUGACCUGCAUUAUCUUGUGGAUACCUGAGUGAAUUCCACACCACCCAUUUUAUAGAUGAAGCCACUGAGACGUGGAGCAACUGACUGAGUAGUCACUGCCCCACCCCUGCCUGGAGCCUCACACAUGACUUCUCUUAGUGACCACAGGUGAGACGUGGUCUUGUAACACAGUGGUUAAGAAUGUGACUUUGGAGCCAGCCUGCUAGGGGCUGAAUUCUGACUCAGCCAUUUAUUAACUGUGUGACCUUAGGGAGGAGGACCUGGUUGAUAGAAGAAUUUAUCUCAUAGUCUUAACAUCCACUGUAAUUCCGAACUUUGAGGACGAUAGAGAUCAGUGGGCUUUGACUGCCCAGCAUGCAGUCU
rnacentral:antisense_RNA from 1 species